GCUCAGCGCCGCGAGGGGCCGCCGGGCUAGGGGGCGCCUGGGCUGAGCCCCAGUGAGCCCGCCGGGCGGGCCAUGGGCGACCGCGAGCGCAACAAGAAGCGGCUGCUGGAGCUGCUGCAGGCGGCGGGCACCGGCAACGCGCACUGCGCCGACUGCGGGGCGGCGGAUCCUGACUGGGCCUCCUACAAGCUGGGCAUUUUCAUCUGUCUGAACUGCUCCGGUGUGCACCGCAACUUCCCAGACAUCAGCAAAAUUAAAUCCGUGAGACUUGACUUCUGGGACGACAGUACUGUGGAGUUUAUGACCCACAAUGGAAACCUCCGUGGGAAGGCCAAGUACGAAGCCAGAGUCCCUGCUUUCUACUAUGUCCCCCAGGCCAACGACUGCCUGGUGUUAAAGGAACAGUGGAUUCGAGCUAAGUAUGAAAGACAGGAAUUUAUGGCCGAUGGGAAAUCCAUCUCACUCCCAGGUACCCGAGAAGGGUUCCUGUGGAAGCGGGGAAGGGACAAUGCCCAGUUCCUGAGAAGAAAGUUUGUCCUCCUGUCAAAAGAAGGCCUCCUGAAGUACUACACUAAAGAGGAGGGUAAAGGCCCCAAAGCUGUCAUCAGCAUCAAGGAUUUGAAUGCCACCUUUGAGACAGAGAAGAUAGGGAACCCCCAUGGGCUGCAGAUCACCUACAGGAGAGAGGGCCACAUCAGGAACCUGUUCGUGUACCACGAGAGUGGGAAGGAGAUAGUGGACUGGUUCAAUGCCCUCCGUGCUGCCCGUCUGCAAUACCUAAAAACAGCCUUUCCUGAGUUCCCGGAGUCUGAGCUCGUGCCCCUCAUCACCAGGAAGUACCUCAAACAAGGCUUCAUGGAAAAGACUGGUCCAAAGCAGAGAGAACCUUUCAAAAAAAGGUGGUUUGCCCUGGAUCCCCAGGAGCGGAGGCUGCUCUAUUACAAGAACCCACUGCCGCAUCAUCGGAGACUGGCCACAGCAGCAGGUGACCGCCUGGCUGAGGAGCUGGCCACUGGUCACGUGGAGCUCGUGGUAGGAAGGGCAAGUUCUCACCUCGGCCUUGGUUGUCCCGCAGCAGUGCCCCGCCGUCAGCAGCCAUGGCUGGCCAUGACUUCUGCCAAGACUGAAGCUUUGGCCUUUCCCUGCUGGCUCCCUGGGCGUUCCCACUGUCCAGCCCCGGCGGAGGCGGGGCGGGGAGGUCUUGGGGAUCUAGCCCAUGACCUCAAGGCCCCAGACCUCUGAAUUGAAGACACUCCAACAAAGAGCCACCCACUGUGUCAUGCGAGUGGCAUGUUUGCUCAAAGAGAAAAAAAGUUGAUUCCGGAUCUAACCAUGAGGAAGUAAUCAGACAAAUCCACGUGAGGGAAAUUCUAUAAAAUGGCUGGACUGGACUCUUCAAAAGUGUCAGUAUCAUGAAAGAUAAAGUAGUGAGGAAACUGUUCAACAUUAAAGAAGGCAAAGGAGGCAACAAAAUGCAGUUCAUGAUUCUUGACUGGAUCCUGGAUUUUUAUGCUUUUUUUUUUUAAAGAUUUUAAUUUUUAAGUAAUCUCUAUACCCAAUGUGGGGCUCAAACUCACGACCCUGAGAUCAAGAGUCACAUGCUUCACUGACUGAGCCAGCCAGGCUCCCCCCUGGAUCCUGGAUUUUUUAAAAAGCAGUUAUAAAGGACAUAAUUGACAUACCUGGGGAAGUUUGAAUAUGGAUGUAUAUUAGCUAAUCAUGUUGUGAGACUGUUAACUAUGUUGUAUUUGUGUAGAAGAUUGCUCAUUGUUCUUGGUGGGUACAUGCUAAAGUGUUCAGGGGUAAAAUGUAAUAAUUUUUAGUCUACAGCUGACUCUUAAAUGGGUCAACAAAGAAUAAGUGUAUGUGUACAUGUAUAUAGUGUGUGUGUGUGUGUGUGUGUGUAUAGAAGACAGGAAGUGUGUAUACACACACACACACAGGGAGAGAGAGAGAAAAAGCGAGCCACUAGCAAAAUGUUAGCGACCGAAGAAUCUAGACGAAGUAUAGAUGGGUCUUUGUUGUCCUAUUGGUGCAAAUUUUCUAAAGAUUCAAAAGUGUUCAAAUUAAACACUUGGAAGCUGGAGGAAAUUUUUAAAGAAACACCCACUCCCACUCUUCAAAAGCAGUGUGUUCUCUACAUGAAUCAAAACAGUUCUUGGGAAAGUCUCGUCUUUGUGCACAUUUUAGAAGUGAAAACCCAGAGAAUACCAAAAAAAAAAAAAAAAAAAAAAAAACCCGCCAAAAACACAAAAACCAACGUCCCAGUUGAUUACCGUCCUACUCGGACGCAAAGAAGCAAGCCAAGGAGGCAGCUCCACUGGACCCCAGGGCAGAGAGUUCUCUAGUCUGCGAGCCAGCUCUGGCCUUUGCCACUAACUUGAAAUGGUCAGAAACCUCAUUCUCCCACCCAUGUGCCUUGGUCUUCCUCUUUCAGAUGAGGAAGGUGUACUAACUAUUGAAAUUCCAUGGAAGCGACAAGUAUUUUUGAGCCUCUCCCAGGUGCCAGGAUCUGUGCCAAGCCCUGGGAAUAGGGCAGGAACCAGAUGGUCCCUGCUUUCACAGAUGACAGACUGCAGCAAGGCAACCCUUACACGGGGCGGGACGAUGCCAUGAGUAUUCAGAAAGGGAAGUACAGACCUCUGUGGGAGCCUGCAACAUAGGGGUUCCCCUGAGGGGAAGAGGGGCGCCUCCAUCCCCUCCAGAAAGUGAUGUUGAAGUUGAAACCUUAAAGAUAUUUGGAGGUUAGUCAACAGAAAGAGGGUGAGGAAAACACUCAUCUGAGGGCAGAAAUUGUUCAAAGGCCCUUAGAUGAGAAAGAGGAACUGAAAGAAAUCUGGAGUGGCUGAAGUGUUAGAGAAAUAGAUCAGCGAGGUCCCUGCUCUAUGACUCUUUGUCCUUCAAGUCACGUGCAGAACGAUGGGGACCGAGAGGGUGGAGACCGAGAGGGUCGGGAGGGUGUUUAACAGAGUCUCUGCUUUUUAUGGGGUUUUCCUACGGAUCCCCCAGAGGACAAACAGCAUUAUUGGAGUGUCUUUCUGGAGGCUUCCUGACAGCCCUGAUGGAGAAGGGGGUGCUUCCUCUUCUAGCCCCUGAAGCACCCUGAAAAUGUCUCUUUCGGCACCUGCUGGGUUGUGUAUUAAGGGUCAGUGUGCUCAUCUGCCUUUUUCACUACCCGUGAGCUCAGUCUAGAGGGAAAGAAGUAAAUAGGCAGUCAAAGCUACUUGGCAUUAAGAAGCAAAGUCCAUGAUCAGAUCUGAAACUUAGGAAAACAAAGAAAGUGUGGGAAGGAGGCGGAGAGACCACCUGGGAGGACACUGCAUAAAUCACAAGCCCCAAAGUGUCAUUGUGGGCUUGUGUCUGAGACAGCACACCAGCUCUCCUUCCCACCGCUUCCUUCUUAAACAUCCUUCUUCUGUUCAGAAAAGCAAGCCAUACCUCUUACCACCUUAAACCUUACAUUGCUCCAAGGCAAUAAAAAUCACUGGGAUGCCAAAUAAAGAGAUAGUUUGAAAUAGGAGUGACAAGCCUCCUUUUUAAAUUUUAUUUUUUACAUUGUUCUAUACUAAAAUUGACUUUUGUACUGUUUUAUAAAUGUUAAUACCUGUAUGGAUUCCUGUAACUACCACCACAAUCAGAAUAAAGAAUGGUUACAUCGCCUCAAACACUCCCGGGGCUACCUCUCCAUGGCCACACUCUUCCCCUGCCACCUGCCAACCACAACUCUGUCCUUCAUCAGCCCAGAUUUAUAUUUUUGAUGAUGUCCUAUGAAUGGAAUCAUUCAAUAUGUAAUUUUUGAAAUUGGCUUCUUUCACUCAGUAUAAUGUCUUCAAGAUCCAUCCAAGUCAUUGCAUGUAUCAACAAUUAUUACUGCUGAGUCGUAGUGCAUUGUAUGGAUAUGCCAUGGUUUGUUUAUCCCAUGGAAUAGUACUCGGCAAUAAAUAUGAAUGAAUCAUUGGUCCACGCAACAAUAUCCAGGAGUGGAGCGGCUGGGUCAUUUGAUUUUUGUUGGUGACAAAGUUUGGCAUUAAAAAUGGUGUGUUUGGCUCAACACCCAAAGAACAAAUAAUCCAAUCAAGAAAUGGGCAGAAGACAUGAACAGACAUUUUUCCAAAGAAGUCAUCCAAAUG